rnacentral:tRNA from 1 species
CGAUUUAGCUCAGCGGUAGAGCACUUCACUCGUAAUGAAGGGGUCUCGGGUUCAAAUCCCGAAAU